CAAUAUCCAAUCCCAUCCAGCCGUCAGGAAUGGCUGAUGCAGGCACAACCUGCAGUUGAAUAAAAUGGAUUUUCACUCCUUACUUGCCAAGUAAUAUAGUAGGUGGAUUUCAGCCAAGAGGUAAAUGGAUUUCAGCGCAUCAAAAUUAAAAUUAAUCAGGCUCAAUAUAAGAAAAGGGCUUAAGAGAUAAUGUCAAGAUAGCAAGAAUCUAUGAGGAACUUUCACAUAGGAGUUUAGACUACAA
rnacentral:lncRNA from 1 species